UAAAACUGUUAAUGUUGCCUGUCUAUUGUCUCCUUCAGGCUCCACGCUGCCUCGACUCCUGCCUCUCUUGGGCCCUACCCGCGUAGAGGCUAUGUUCUCCCACACUCCAGAGUCUCAGGCCGGUGUCAGUGGAGGGGCGUGUUUACUUCCCUUUCUCACCGGUGACAACAUAACUCUUCUCAUUUCUGAGCAGAGAGACGGAUGGCAUUAUGGUCAGAAUGACCGUACGGGACGAAAAGGCUGGUUUCCUUUCUCCUACACGCAACCGCUCAACAGUAACAUCGACAAUGUUGAAAGCUCCCUCUUGUUGUCUAAAGCCAACAGCACCAGCACUGGGGACCUGGAGAAGCUGUGUUCUGCGAUUCCUGCGCUCACUCCUGAGUCUGAGGAGGAGAGGUCUGUCCCUCCGAGGGUCAGCACCUUCCGCCCACGGCCCUACAGCAUCGCCGAGGGCAACAAGUUCUCUGCUGCACUGGCUCCACCGCCUCCAUCACCGACCAGGUAAUGUUAAUUUACCUCAUCUAGCACCUUUGUACAUGAUUAUAAAAUUGCAUUAUACCAUGAGAUAUGUAAUUUAUUGUUCCAUUUGUUUAUUUCCCCAAGGCCAAAUCCAUUUGCCCACAUCCGACUCAGAAAAACUGUGACUAAUGAUCGUUCAGCCCCGAUCAUUGAGUGAGUGGUUUAUUACAACAAGAAAAUCCAACAUGUUUUCUUCAGAGCUGGCAGUUACAACACAAAGGCUGCCUUUUCUCUCAGAGCAAAUUGAUGCCCACGUAAAAAUACAUAUACAUAUUUUUGUUGUCCUCUUUAGAUGCAGGUUUGUUGCAGAUAAAGUAAUACUUUUUCUUUAAGCGAUGUAGUGACUGACUCUGAAUAGCAGCAAUUUAGGGUUUAAGUUGAUAUGUUUGCUCAGAAGAGGACAGGCUCCUACUUCAUAUGUACAUACUAAAUUAAAAAAAGAAGCCUGAUCAAUGUCAUUUUGGAAUAAUAAAUUUACUAUAUUAAAUACAAUAUCUGUACAUUACAAAUUUACAUACAGGAAUAUUUUAAAUGAAUAUGUUAAUUAUA
rnacentral:lncRNA from 1 species